rnacentral:rRNA from 1 species
AGAGUUUGAUCCUGGCUCAGAGCGAACGCUGGCGGCGUGCUUAACACAUGCAAGUCGAGUGCGCGUCUGUAGCAAUACAGAUGGCGCACGGCGCACGGGUGCGUAACACGUGGGUAAUCUGCCCUUCGAUGGGGAAUAACUCCGGGAAACCGAAGCUAAUUCCGCAUAACAUCCCUUGAGCCUCGGUUUAAGGACUCAAAGCCGUAAGGCGUCGGAGGAGGAACCCGCGCACGAUUAGCUAGUUGGUAGGGUAACGGCCUACCAAGGCUUUGAUCGUUAGCUGGUCUGAGAGGAUGGCCAGCCACACUGGAACUGAGACACGGUCCAGACUCCUACGGGAGGCAGCAGUGGGGAAUCUUGCACAAUGGGCGAAAGCCUGAUGCAGCGACGCCGCGUGGGGGAUGAAGCUUUUCGGAGUGUAAACCCCUUUCGACCCGGACGAAUACCUCGCAAGAGGGGUGACGGUACGGGUAUAAGAAGCCCCGGCUAACUACGUGCCAGCAGCCGCGGUAAGACGUGGGGGGCCAGCGUUGCUCGGAAUUACUGGGUGUAAAGGGUUCGUAGGCGGUGUAGCAAGUCGGGAGUGAAAUCUCUGGGCUCAACCCAGAGACUGCUUCCGAAACUGCUGUGCUUGAGUGUGGGAGAGGCGCGUGGAAUUGCAGGUGUAGCGGUGAAAUGCGUAGAUAUCUGCAGGAACACCCGUGGCGAAAGCGGCGCGCUGGACCACUACUGACGCUGAGGAACGAAAGCUAGGGGAGCAAACAGGAUUAGAUACCCUGGUAGUCCUAGCCCUAAACGAUCAGGACUUGGGGUGCCGCACGUUCGUGCGUCGUCCCGGAGCUAACGCGUUAAGUCCUGCACCUGGGGAGUACGGUCGCAAGACUGAACUCAAAGGAAUUGACGGGGGCCCGCACAAGCGGUGGAACAUUGUGUUUCAAUUCGACGCUACGCGAGGAAA